rnacentral:misc_RNA from 1 species
CAACCCUCAAGCACUGCUUGGCGUUGGGGCGCUACGCGCUGAGCGUAGACCCCUAAAAUCAGUGGCGGACCCGCUGUGGCUCCGGGCGUAGUAGCAACACCUCGCCUAGGGACCGCGGCGCCUUCCGGCCGUUAAACCCCCCACUAUAUCGAA